rnacentral:rRNA from 1 species
GACGAACGCUGGCGGCGUGCUUAACACAUGCAAGUCGUACGACAGCGCCCUUUCGGGGGUGUAUGAGUGGCGAACGGGUGAGUAACACGUAAGUAACCUGCCCUUUUCUUUGGGAUAACUCGCGGAAACGUGGGCUAAUACCGAAUAUUCACAUGGUGCUGCAUGGUGGUGUGUGGAAAGGACCUUUGGUUCGGUAAGGGAUGGGCUUGCGGCCUAUCAGUUUGUUGGUGGGGUGAUGGCCUACCAAGAC